rnacentral:lncRNA from 1 species
GCUUACAAAUCAGGAACUCGCAAGCGUAGAAAGGACCAACCGUCAACAAAAAUCAAUCACUGCAACAAUGGCCGACCUCGGCACUCCAGAACAAAUGGCCGCGUCUAUGCAACAGAUGCAACAGCAGAUGCAACAGAUACAAGAGUUGCAGCAAACAAUGGCAGCGCAGCAACUGGCUGCGCAGCCGGAACCACCUGUCCCAAUUGGUGAGAGAAACCUACCCCGU